rnacentral:rRNA from 1 species
AUUGAACGCUGGCGGCAGGCCUAACACAUGCAAGUCGAGCGGAUGAAGAGGGCUUGCUCUCUGAUUCAGCGGCGGACGGGUGAGUAAUGCCUAGGAAUCUGCCUGGUAGUGGGGGACAACGUUUCGAAAGGAACGCUAAUACCGCAUACGUCCUACGGGAGAAAGUGGGGGAUCUUCGGACCUCACGCUAUCAGAUGAGCCUAGGUACGAUUAGCUAGUUGGUGAGGUAAAGGCUCACCAAGGCGACGAUCGUUAACUGGUCUGAGAGGAUGAGCAGUCACACUGGAACUGAGACACGGUCCAGACUCCUACGGGAGGCAGCAGUGGGGAAUAUUGGACAAUGGGCGAAAGCCUGAUCCAGCCAUGCCGCGUGUGUGAAGAAGGUCUUCGGAUUGUAAAGCACUUUAAGUAGGGAGGAAGGGUGUUGUGUUAAUAGCACAGCAUUUUGACGUUACCUACAGAAGAAGCACCGGCUAACUCUGUGCCAGCAGCCGCGGUAAAAC